UCGGGAUAGCUCAGUUGGUAGAGCAGAGGACUGAAUCC
rnacentral:tRNA from 2 species